AUUGCCCCAGUAACGGCGAGUGAAGCGGCAACAGCUCAAAUUUGAAAUCUGGCCUUCUGGUCCGAGUUGUAAUUUGUAGAGGAUGCUUUUGGUGAGGUACCUUCCGAGUUCCCUGGAACGGGACGCCAUAGAGGGUGAGAGCCCCGUCUGGUUGGAUACCGAGCCUCUGUAAAGCUCCUUCGACGAGUCGAGUAGUUUGGGAAUGCUGCUCAAAAUGGGAGGUAUAUGUCUUCUAAAGCUAAAUAUUGGCCAGAGACCGAUAGCGCACAAGUAGAGUGAUCGAAAGAUGAAAAGCACUUUGAAAAGAGGGUUAAAUAGUACGUGAAAUUGUUGAAAGGGAAGCACUUAUGACCAGACUUGGGCCCGGUGAAUCAUCCAGCGUUCUCGCUGGUGCACUUCGCCGGCCCAGGCCAGCAUCAGUUCGUCCCGGGGGAUAAAGGCUUCGGGAACGUAGCUCCUUCGGGAGUGUUAUAGACCGUUGCGCAAUACCCUGGGGUGGACUGAGGUUCGCGCUUCCGCAAGGAUGCUGGCGUAAUGGUCAUCAGCGACCCGUCUUGAAACACGGACCAAGGAGUCGUCUUCGUAUGCGAGUGUUCGGGUGUCAAACCCCUACGCGUAAUGAAAGUGAACGCAGGUGAGAGCUUCGGCGCAUCAUCGACCGAUCCUGAUGUUCUCGGAUGGAUUUGAGUAAGAGCAUACGGGGCCGGACCCGAAAGAAGGUGAACUAUGCCUGUAUAGGGUGAAGCCAGAGGAAACUCUGGUGGAGGCUCGCAGCGGUUCUGACGUGCAAAUCGAUCGUCAAAUAUGGGCAUGGGGGCGAAAGACUAAUCGAA
rnacentral:rRNA from 1 species